GACGAACGCUGGCGGCGUGCUUAACACAUGCAAGUCGAACGGUGAAGCGCCUUCCUUUUUGGUGGGUGUGGAUGAGUGGCGAACGGGUGAGUAACACGUGAGUAACCUGCCCCCUUCUUCUGGAUAACCGCAUGAAAGUGUGGCUAAUACGGGAUAUUCUGGGUCUGUCGCAUGAUGGGUCUGGGAAAGAUAUUGUUUCGGUGGGGGAUGGGCUCGCGGCCUAUCAGCUUGUUGGUGGGGUGAUGGCCUACCAAGGCGGUGACGGGUAGCCGGCCUGAGAGGGUGGACGGUCACACUGGGACUGAGACACGGCCCAGACUCCUACGAGAGGCAGCAGUGGGGAAUAUUGCACAAUGGGCGCAAGCCUGAUGCAGCGACGCCGCGUGAGGGAUGGAGGCCUUCGGGUUGUGAACCUCUUUCGCCAGUGAAGCAGGCCUGCCUCGUUUGUGGGUGGGUUGACGGUAGCUGGAGAAGAAGCGCCGGCUAACUACGCG
rnacentral:rRNA from 1 species